rnacentral:rRNA from 1 species
CAGCAGCCGCGGUAAUACGAAGGGUGCAAGCGUUACUCGGAAUUACUGGGCGUAAAGCGUGCGUAGGUGGUGGUUUAAGUCCGUUGUGAAGGCCCUGGGCUCAACCUGGGAAUUGCAGUGGAUACUGGAUCACUAGAGUGUGGUAGAGGAUAGUGGAAUUUCCGGUGUAGCAGUGAAAUGCGUAGAGAUCGGAAGGAACAUCUGUGGCGAAGGCGACUAUCUGGGCCAACACUGACACUGAGGCACGAAAGCGUGGGGAGCAAACAGGAUUAGAUACCCGAGUAGUCCCUGUCUCUUAUAC